rnacentral:rRNA from 1 species
GUUGGUGGAGUGAUUUGUCUGGUUAAUUCCGUUAACGAACGAGACCUCGACCUGCUAAAUAGUACGUGUGAUCUAUAAUCGCUAGAUACUUCUUAGAGGGACUCUCGGUGUGUAGCCGAUGGAAGUUCGAGGCAAUAACAGG